rnacentral:rRNA from 1 species
GAUGAACGCUAGCUACAGGCUUAACACAUGCAAGUCGAGGGGCAGCACGAGGUAGCAAUACUGAGGUGGCGACCGGCGCACGGGUGAGUAACACGUAUCCAACCUGCCGUUUACUCUUGGAUAGCCUUCUGAAAAGGAGAUUAAUCCAAGAUAGUAUCAUGAGAUCACCUGUUCACAUGAUUAAAGAAUUUCGGUAAACGAUGGGGAUGCGUUCCAUUAGAUAGUAGGCGGGGUAACGGCCCACCUAGUCUACGAUGGAUAGGGGUUCUGGUAGGAAGGUCCCCCACACUGGUACUGAGACACGGACCAGGGUCCUACGGGAGGCAGCAGUGAGGAAUAUUGGUCAAUGGACGCAAGUCUGAACCAGCCAAGUAGCGUGAAGGAUGACGGUCCUAUGGAUUGUAAACUGCUUUUGUACAGGAAGAAACACUCCCUCGUGAGGGAGCUUGACGGUACUGUAAGAAUAAGGAUCGGCUAACUCCGUGCCAGCCGCCGCCGUAACAC